CGGGACGGGGGAGUAAUGCUUGGGAAUCUAGCUUAUGGAGGGGGAUAACUACGGGAAACUGUAGCUAAUACCGCGUAAUAUCGGAAGAUUAAAGUGUGGGACCUUCGGGCCAUAUGCCAUAGGAUGAGCCCAAGUGGGAUUAGGUAGUUGGUGAGGUAAAGGCUCACCAAGCCGACGAUCUCUAGCUGGUCUGAGAGGAUGACCAGCCACACUGGGACUGAGACACGGCCCAG
rnacentral:rRNA from 1 species